rnacentral:lncRNA from 1 species
AUGACUUACCCCUCCAGGAGUCGACCUGGUCGCCUGCUGCAGGUGGAGCCCGCUGGGAUUCUCCACUGUGGACUCACCAUUUCUCCCUUUCCGUACACUAGCCUAAGGCCGCUCCUCACUCGAGGUGAGGGGGUGGGAGGCAAAGCUCCCUUCCAGGAGGGAGGAGCGUCUAUGUGUAUCACGCGGAAUUCUUCCCUAUAACUAUGGAAGCAGCAUGAUAACAAUCCUUUAGUUCCUUGGUAAUGUGGACAGUUGAGGACGAAAGCAGUGCACAAUUAGAAAAUGACUAGAAAGUUGUCAAAACCCUAGAAUUCAAAAAAAUCUUCUCAAAAUAUAUGAUCAACUGUUCUUUCCUUUUCAAAGGUGGCCAAAAUAGAGCUCUUAGACAAAAAGAUCAUCGUUAAAUCUAUUCCGUCACCCCACCCCCAAACGUCUGAAAAAUGAAAACACUUGUCCAAAAACACACAAAAUAAAACAAAAGCAACACCGAAUCAUUGAGCUUGAACCAGUCACUCCUCAUCCAUCCCUGCCAGCUCCACCAGCUCUGCACCACAGACGUCAGUACCCCAGCUUAUGGAGAGGCUGAGGAACUUGACUGGAGCCCCACAGCUGCCACGUGUGUACCCACCCAUCUCCCCACCGCACAGCCUUCUCCUGUCUUUUCUCUGUGGCACAUUCACUGCCUUUUCCAGCUGAGAAAGUCCAAGAAGCAGAGUCUACCCUGGAUGGAUGAACUUUUAUACACCAAAAAUCUCUCUAAAAUAGAAACAAAACAAACAACAGGACAAUCUAUGCACAGCUGUGGCUCAGAUCAUAUUGUCUUCUCUCUCCGUCUAUCCCAUCCACGGCGAUGUUCCUGCCCGCUCUCCCAACUACAGGCCUCAGAGCACUGUUGGCACAGUUUAAGGAAAUGAGAUGGUCAAGAAGGUGGAAGAUGCAAAGUCUUACCUUGGCAAUGCUCAGUGGCUUUUCACCAUAGUUCUUCAAAUCCCAGCACACCUGUGGCACUCUAGCCCACUGUUGCUUCUGAUCUCAGAGCUUCUUUAAUGGUGCUACUUUACUUGGCUAUGAAAACUCAGAAGAACAGAGAACGAUAGAGGAGAUGAGGAGAGGACCCUAACAUCUGGAGCAGUGAGAUGCUGUCCUGCACUACACCAGCCAAGGGACCAACAGGACCAAGAAGGUUGCUAAG